rnacentral:rRNA from 1 species
GACGAACGCUGGCGGCGUGCUUAACACAUGCAAGUCGAACGGUGAUGCUCCAGCUUGCUGGAGUGGAUCAGUGGCGAACGGGUGAGUAACACGUGAGCAACCUGCCCCAGACUCUGGAAUAAGCGCUGGAAACGGCGUCUAAUACUGGAUACGAAACUGGCCCGCAUGGGCAUGGUUUGGAAAGUUUUUCGGUUUGGGAUGGGCUCGCGGCCUAUCAGCUUGUUGGUGAGGUAAUGGCUCACAAAGGCGACGACGGGUAGCCGGCCUGAGAGGGCGACCGGCCACACUGGGACUGAGACACGGCCCAGACUCCUACGGGAGGCAGCAGUGGGGAAUAUUGCACAAUGGGCGAAAGCCUGAUGCAGCGACGCCGCGUGAGGGAUGACGGCCUUCGGGUUGUAAACCUCUUUCAGCAGGGAAGAAGCGAAAGUGACGGUACCUGCAGAAGAAGCACCGGCUAACUACGUG